UACGGAAGGUGCAAGCGUUAAUCGGAAUUACUGGGCGUAAAGCGCGCGUAGGCGGCUUGGUAAGUCGGGCGUGAAAGCCCCGGGCUCAACCUGGGAACGGCGCUCGAUACUGCUGAGCUCGAGUACGAGAGAGGGGGGUGGAAUUCCAGGUGUAGCGGUGAAAUGCGUAGAGAUCUGGAGGAACACCAGUGGUGCAGACGGCGCCCUGGGCCACUACUGACGCUGAGAUACGAAAGCGUGGGGAGCGAACGGG
rnacentral:rRNA from 1 species